GGCAACAUGUUAUAUCGUGACAGCGGGUCCAGCACAGCAAAAUAAACGAUUUGAGCCCGGGACAUGCUGUCUACUGUCAAACGCUGCUGUUGGUAUGGGCCUUGUCACUGGCCUGGGUAGGACCACCGAGGCACACAAAUUGCCAAACUAAGCAAGAUGCACAUUUUCGGCUACGGACUCCAGUUGUCUCACUCUCACUAAUAGUAACGUAGGUUAAGUCAAAAUUGUAACUGAACUGAGAAUCAUAUAUAAACCGAUCACCACCGAAAUAAAGCAAUUAGAAUAAUCUGAUCAAGCAGUCUAGACUUUUACUCUGGUCCUUACUGGUGAUAGCUCUCGAGCUCACCAUAGUUUGGAUACCAUUGCAAAGAAAGACUUUCUCCGAUAUAUUCUAAGCAAGACUGCCACACUAGAAUGAAAAAGUGAUGAAAUCUUUUGUUAGAUUGAAAAAGUGGUGAAACAUUUGAUGUACAGAAAAAGUGAAUAAAUCUGUCCUUAAGGACAUAGUGAAACCUUUUUUAAAAAGAUUUUGAUGACAAAUCAUACAUAAGCGUACAUCGAUCUGGAAGCUGAUUUUGUCAAAUGUAACAAACCUGAUAACGAAAAUAGGAAGGAAUGCAUGCUACUAAUGCAAGGAAGGACAUCGUAAGACAAUCAGUGGGUAAAUUGUUAAACAUUGUUCAGAAACUGCCAGGCAACGGCAAGGUUACAGAUAAGGAUAAGACUAGCACAAUAGUUCGACAGAUUAGUGAUACAAAAUUUGUUGAAGAGCUUCGAGUAACAUUCAAAAACCAGCAACAUAUUUUACUUGUUGCAGACCCCGGUAUGGGAGAAACUAGAUUACUGCAUUUUGUAGCGUUUGAAGUUCAAAAACAAAACCAAUCUGCUGUAUUCUUGGUGUAUUUAAGAACGCUAUGUAAUGAACUCAACAACAUAGACGUAGUAUCUGUAGUGGUGUAGCAUGUGAUUUUCACAUGUCACCAAAUCAUGCAUGUUCUCGUUCUUCAAAAUUAAAUUCAAUAUCCAAAGGUUCAACGAACAAUUACAUCGGCGCGAAAACAAAUGUAUCAACUUACAGUGUCAAUACUCGUAGGCUGUUUCCAACUAGCACGGAGUGUCACAAUGCUGACUAAGUGCUCUCUCACCAUAACUCUUUCUCUCAAUUAAUUUGGACCUCUCUAUCAGGUAAUAAUCGGUGAUUGGUUAAUUAAGUAAAUAAUGGCUUCAAGUAUCUCAGGUAAAUGGAAGUUAGAAUAAGUCAGUAGAAGUCAAUAAAAACACAUUCGUUAAUCAACCUACUAAGCGUGAAGUUCGUCGUCCGAAAGCCAUACGUGGAAAGAACUACAACAGCAAGGAUAAGACUAGCACAAUAGUUCGACAGAUUAGUGAUACAAAAUUUGUUGAAGAGCUUCGAGGAACAUUCAAAAACCAGCAACAUAUUUUACUUGUAGCAGACCCCGGUAUGGGAGAAACUAGAUUACUGCAUUUUGUAGCGUUUGAAGUUCAAAAACAAAACCAAUCUGAUGUAUUUAAGAACGCUAUGUAAUGAACUAAACAACAUAGAAGAAGUAUCUGUAGUGGCAACCCUACUUGCGUGGGGUAAAAGGCGGUAAAACCAAAGUUACCGUUUUGGCUUUUUUAUGGUGGUGUUAGUAGUUGGAGACAGUUGACAGUUAAACUCAGUUACGAUAUUGUUAUCGGAAAAAACCAAGAAAACAAGCAGCGCAAAUUUUAGUGCUUUGAAUUUCAUCCAGAAAGUAUGCUGGAAGCACUCAAAUUCAGAAUGGGUGACAACCCUAUGAAUUGUAAAUCAAAGCGUCAGCAAGAAACGUCUGGCAACGACCAAAGUUGCUAGACAUACAUCAUCAGCAGAAAAUAUGCCACCAGCAGUAUUGCAACAGGCUGGUGGUCCGAUAUCAAAACCUGCACCACGAAUCACAUAAACACUCGACACGACAAACUGAAGCCAGCAACAAAGUAAUAAUCCAACUAAAAUGUGGCCUUUUGGAAACAGAGAAGAAAGUGGUGAAGUCAUAAAGAAUGAUCUUUCAUCCCACGACGUAAUAUCGUACUCCUUAGACGGAGCAUUCACCAUCGCUGCACUGGUAGCGAUCCUGGUUUACCGAUGGCGGGUAAACUCAAACCGCUUGCGUCAGCUAGAACGCAGCGAUAAACGACACGAGCUGGACGGAGUCAGCUCAACAUGACCGGAUGCGGAGGAAAUUCGAACCCAGGCGACGAUGCAGCGAAAUAUGACGCUGCGUCCAACAACACCCAUCAAGUAAAUACAAUCCAAUGUACUAAAAAAGGAAAUAAAAUCAUUCUUAGUCUAACUUCCAAACGAGUCGGGUCUCUUUUGUAUAUCACAAGUUAGAUUCGGCUCCAUAGCGAAGAUGCCCAUCCACCUUACAUUGUAGUUUCCACGGCAGGCAAGCCAAGCAACCAGCCAAUUCAUCAUUCCCAGAAACAACAUCGUCGUUCCCACAUAGCGUCUGGAAUAGAUCAAAUUCAGUUCCGACUAACCUCAUCGAGUGCAACCUGAAUUCCGGUACGUGACGAUUCGAUGGAGGACAUCGUGGCGACGUAGACUGUUCCCAGCUGACCUCAGCAGUUUAACAGAAUAGUUAGGUUGUUAGAUGGUCGUAAGUAGAACAGGCAGUCAGUUCUUUGUUGACUCUAAAAGUGAUCGGUUGGUAGUUCUAGUUUGAUCUGUAGUUCUAAUUUGAAUACAAGUGUUCAAGUGAACAAAACGUUUUUUGAAAAUUCCCUAAUGACAAUCAGUACAUAAGUGUAUAUCGAUCUGAAAGCUUAUUUUGUCGAAUGUAACAAACCUGAUAACAAAAAUAGGAAGCACUUUUUGACCAAACAAGAUUUAGAACAAUGCUUUGGACGAAUAAAGCGUGAAACGCAGACGGGUGUGAUAAAGCGCGUAAUGCCAGAGGCAGAACAAAGAAGGACAUCGUAAGACAAUCAGUGGGUAAAUUGUUAAACAUUGUUCAGAAACUGCCAGGCAACGGCAAGGUAACAGAUACGGAUAAGACUAGCACAAUAGUUAGACAGAUUAGUGAUACAAAAUUUGUUGAAGAGCUUCGAGGAAAAUUAAAAAAACCAGCAACAUAUUUUACUUGUUGCAGACCCCGGUAUUGGAGAAACUAGAUUACUGCAUUUUGUAGCGUUUGAAGUUCAAAAACAAAACCAAUCUGGUGUAUUUAAGAACGCUAUGUAAUGAACUAAACAACAUAGAAGAAGUAUCUGUAGUGGCAACCCUACUUGCGUGGGGUAAAAGGCGGUAAAACCAAAGUUACCGUUUUGGCUUUGGAGAGAGUUGACAGUUAAACUCAGUUACUACGAUAUUGUCAUCGGAAAAAGCAAAAAAACAAACAGCGCAAAUUUUAGUGCUUUGAAUUUCAUCCAGAAAGCAGGCAUUGGUAGCAAGUGAUUUAUGUCUGCGAGUAUCGAUAAGGUCAUUACUCCUUGAUAAAGUUCAUCGACCUUCUAAGAUAGUGCAUCGACGAUCGGCUACAGUUCGCUGACCUUUCGGAACAGUUCAUGGACCUGGGUAGUGAAGAAGAAGAUGAAUUUGAAGUGCGUUUUGUUGCCGGUUCCGUUGUGCUGGAGUGCUGUUGCUGCUGAAUCCCAUCAUUAUUAAGAAUUAAGUGCUGAUUGACCAGGAUUGACCGUGUUUUGGGCUUUUGGACUGCUGCUCAAAUUGAAUACGAACUUUGUUCCGUCGCAGCGAUUAGACAGGUACUUGAUUUUUUUCCCCUCUUUUUAUAGUUGAGAGAAACAUUGUUUUUGGGAUGUAUUUUAAUUUUUUUUUCAUUGUUGUGUUUUGUUUCCCUACACAAUUGACCAAUAAGAAUGGCGAUGGCUACAACUACAGAACCGCGAGUUAGCACCGAAGCCUCCCGGCUGGAAUGCUGAUGCUGAACAUGCACUUUGGAACUUGGCAACGACGGCACACCGGAUGGGCAGCUACGAACAUGCAAGACAAGGCAAAUUGAUCGACGAUGGCAACGGACGGAAUUUGGACGAUGGCACCAGCGGAGGAAAUGCAGAGUAGGCAAUAUGGACUGUAGUUAGGUUUUAUUGAAAAAUAAAGUCCAGUUCGGUUUUAGCUAGCGAGUAGUUAAGAAGUUAUUCUUUAAAAAGUUAAUCACAUCCGUAUAGACUUAACUCGCGUAAUGCCAGAGGCAGAACAAAGAAGGACAUCGUAAGACAAUCAGUGGGUAAAUUGUUAAACAUUGUUCAGAAACUGCCAGGCAACGGCAAGGUAACAGAUAAGGAUAAGACUAGCAAAAUAGUUCGACAGAUUAGUGAUACAAAAUUUGUUGAAGAGCUUCGAGGAACAUUCAAAAACCAGCAACAUAUUUUACUUGCAGCAGACCCCGGUAUGGGAGAAACUAGAUUACUGCAUUUUGUAGCGUUUGAAGUUCAAAAACAAAACCAAUCUGGUGUAUUUAAGAACGCUAUAUAGUGGUUACAGCAAAGAAAUUAAAAUUAUUAAAGAAAUAUUCAACAUCAAUGCGAACUUAGAUCAUUUAAAAUAUCAUUUGCAAGGCAUUUGUGAAUCAAUUCAUUUAGCUAAAUUGAACAUAAUUUCAAAACACAUUUUGAGUACAGACGAGCUAGGAUUCGCUUUACAAAAGUUAGAGGAUAAGGGAAUUAUUAUUGAAAACUAUGAACAAGUGUAUGAUUACCUAGAAAUCUCAACGUAUUUUAAUCAAUCGAAAUUGUUUUUUAUAAUAAAAGUACCUCAACUUCAGAGCAUUGUUUAUAAUAACUUCAUACUAGAAGCAUUACCGGUAGGACACAGAAUUUUAAAAAUACCAGCUGCUUGCGCAAUGACCAGUGAACACAGGACAUAUUUCAUCAUCCAGAGCUGUCAACGUAUCGCAGGCAACUCAAUUUGCACCGAACAGAACCUUUUAAAUUACACGGCGGAUACAUGUUUCCCCGAGCUACUGAGAGGAUUACCUGGUAACUGUACGUUCCAACAUUAUCAGAGGGCUGACAUAAUCAAACCAAUUACAAAUAACCAUGUGAUCGUCAUAUCAAGCAAUAACGCACAUCUAAAUUCUACUUACGGCAUCUCAAAUCGAAACAUAACAGGAACACUUUUAAUCGAAUUCCAUAACUGCUCUAUAAAGGUGAACGAAACAACUUUUACUAGACUGGAAUUCAAUCAUCCUGAAAAACCAUUCGUUUUACCCCUUCAUGGCCUAAGAAUUUCAGAAAAGAAAUUCGAGAAAGCAACAACUAUCGAGGAUCUCCAAUUCGAAAACAGGCGUCAUUUAAUUAACCUGACACAAAGUCAUAAACAAAACGCAAUUGCAACAUUUGGAAUUUCUACUUGCAGUUUCAUCCUUGGACUCGUAAUCAUUAUUUAUUUGUUGAAAACAAAUAAUUUCAGUUGGCAGUCAAAGAAUAUUCCACAGAUUGCACAAACAAACGCAGAUCCAAGUAUUCAACAUAAUCAAACGCACCGGGACGUCGCGUCUUCAGGUGGGGGAGUAGUUAAGGCCCAAUCAUCCCUUGAACCAGGUACAUCAGCCAGAGUUCAGCUUCCAUUGAUAAACCACGCAUCAUCGAGCACAACAUCACCCAGAGUCCAGCUUCCUUUGAUAAACCACACAUCAUCAGUAGCCACCAUCAUUCCAACAAUGUAGCCAUCCAUCAGAGCCAGAGACAUCAUUACGCCGAGUCAGCAUCUUCGAUCAUCAUUCCUGGUAUUCAUCGAGCAGCAUCACUCGACGUCAACGAUCGCCUUUCACACGGUAGCAGCGCCGCAGCUUAGGUAGGACGUGACAGUUUAAUAAACAAUAAUCCAUAGGAUAGAAUUCGUAAGCUGUAACCAUUGCGAGAAAUAAAUCAUCAUUUAUUCUUAGUUCGACAGCCAGCAGAAGAAGUUGUUCUUUUUUUAAAAACAAUCCCAAUGCCGCCUCGACCAUAACUCCUAUAAUUACCAAGGCAAAGAUGAAUUUUGACUCCUGUGGAAAACGGCAAAAAAUCGAUAUUGACAAGGUAAAGGAACUGAGAGAUCGACUUGAAAUAAAGCCACAUAAACCUAAGAGAAAAGGUUUUAUGCAAGCUCCUUAUUGGUCUAUUACCAUAUUAAUGGUCCUUUACUUACUGGGAACCACAUUUGGAUUACAUUCACAAGGGUUAAUAGCAUACGAUUGUGCUAAUCCAGAAGUAAAUAUGACGAGCUAUUCCUUAUUAGAUGUGACAUCAUGCCUACCUUCAACGAAGUACUUAUCAAUUUCUGAGGUAUCAAUGCAAGUACUGCAGCAAAACGCCAAAAUCUAUGUGGUAUUGAGACGGCCCCCGUUCCAUGUUUUGCAUUUUAUCAUUGGCCGUCACAUUAUGUCACAGACAGUGACCUAGAGUUAUACAAUUAAGAAAGAAGCUAGGGCAUACCAAUGGUACCCCGAGCGCGGGCCUUUAAAUUUGGCUUCUGCCAAUGAUAGCAGUUUUUUUUUUUUUCAAGUUCACACAACAGCGCAACGCGCGCCAUAGCAGGUUGUUUUGUUAUUUCUCUCACCAGCAUGUGGCUCUGAGAGAAUAGCGUGUAGAAUGAACUUCUUUUUAGUACAAGAGAAGCAUGCUAGGGUCUAUAUAAGUAAAAUCAGUGAAUAAAGCUGGGUUGUCUUGUUGUAUCUAAACCAGUGUUGGGUAGUUUUUUUUUUUAUGACCGCCGGCCCCGCAGUAUGCAUUCUCACACGUCGGACUAUGAAUAAAUCUGUCCUCUAGGACUAAGUGAAUCUUUUUUAAAAAGUGACUUACGUGAAACCAUCCAUAUGUGUAUAUCGUUCUGGAAGCUUAUUUUGUCAAAUGUAACAAACCUGAUAACGAAAAUAGGAAGCGCAUUUUGGCCAAACAAGGUAUAGAACAAUACUUUGGACGCAUAAAGCGAGAAAUGCAGACGGGUGUGAUAAAGCGCGUAAUUCCAGAGUUCAGAAACUGCCAGGCAACGGCAAGGUAACAGAUAAGGAUAAGACUAGCACAAUAGUUCGACAGAUUAGUGAUACAAAAUUUGUUGAAGAGCUUCGAGGAACAUUCAAAAACCAGCAACAUAUUUUACUUGUUGCAGACCCCGGUAUGGGAGAAACUAGAUUACUGCAUUUUGUAGCGUUUGAAGUUCAAAAACAAAACCAAUCUGAUGUAUUUAAGAACGCUAUGUAAUGAACUAAACAACAUAGAAGAAGUAUCUGUAGUGGCAACCCUACUUGCAUGCGGUAAAAGGCGGUAAAAGCAAAGUUACCGUUUUGGCUUUGGAGAGAGUUGACAGUUAAUCUCAGUUACGAUAUUGUCAUCGGAAAAAGCAAGAAAACAAACAGCGCAAAUUUUAGUGCUUUGAAUUUCAUCCAGAACGGAUGCUGGAAGCACUCAAAUUCAGAAUGGGUGACAACCCUAUGAAUUGUAAAUCAAAGCGUCAGCAAGAAACGCCUGGCAACGACCAAAGUUGCUAGACAUAUAUCAUCAGCAGAAAAUAUGCCACCAGCAGUAUUGCAACGGGCUGGUGGUCCGAUAUCAAAACCUGCACCACGAAUCACAUAAACACUCGACACGAUAAACUGAAGCCAGCAACAAAGUAAUAAUCCAACUAAAAUGUGGCCUUUUGGAAACAGAGAAGAAAGUGGUGAAGUCAUAAAGAAUGAUCUUUCAUCCCACGACGUAAUAUCGUACUCCUUAGACGGAGCAUUCACCAUCGCUGCACUGGUAGCGAUCCUGGUUUACCGAUGGCGGGUAAACUCAAACCGCUUGCGUCAGCUAGAACGCAGCGUUAAACGACACGAGCUGGACGGAGUCAGCUCAACAUGACCGGAUGCGGAGGAAAUUCGAACCCAGGCGACGCUGCAGCGAAAGAUGACGCUGCGUUCAACAACACCCAUCAAGUAAAAACAAUCCAAUGUACUAAAAAAGUAAAUAAAAUCAUUCUUAGUCUAACUUCCAAACGAGUCGGGUCUCUUUUGUAUAUCACAAGUCAGAUUCGGCUCCAUAGCGAAGAUGCCCAUCCACCUUCCAUUGUAGUUUCCACGGCAGGCAAGCCAAGCAACCAGCCAAUUCAUCAUUCCCAGAAACAACAUCGUCGUUCCCACAUAGCGUCUGGAAUAGAUCAAAUUCAGUUCCGACUAACCUCAUCGAGUGCAACCUGAAUCCCGGUACGUGACGAUUCGAUGGAGGAUAUCGUGGCGACGUAGACUGUUCCCAGCUGACCUCAGCAGUUUAACAGAAUAGUUAGGUUGUUAGAUGGUCGUAAGUAGAACAGGCAGUCAGUUCUUAGUUGACUCUGAAAGUGAUCGGUUGGUAGUUCUAGUUUGAUCUGUAGUUCUAAUUUGGUGAAGUGAAUACAAGUGUUCAAGUGAACAAAACGUUUUUUAAAAAUUCCCUGAUGACAAUCAGUACAUAAGUGAAUAUCGAUCUGAAAGCUUAUUUUGUCGAAUGUAACAAAGCUGAUAACAAAAAUAGGAAGCACUUUUUGACCAAACAAGAUUUAGAACAAUGCUUUGGACGAAUAAAGCGUCAAAUGCAGACGGGUGUGAUAAAGCGCGUAAUGCCAGAGGCAGAAGAAAGAAGGACAUCGUAAGACAAUCAGUGGGUAAAUUGUUAAACAUUGUUCAGAAACUGCCAGGAUAAGACUAGCACAAUAGUUCGACAGAUUAGUGAUACAAAAUUUGUUGAAGAGCUUCGAGUAACAUUCAAAAACCAGCAACAUAUUUUACUUGUAGCAGACCCCGGUAUGGGAGAAACUAGAUUACUGCAUUUUGUAGCGUUUGAAGUUCAAAAACAAAACCAAUCUGAUGUAUUUAAGAACGCUAUGUAAUGAACUAAACAA